GUAGGGGGCAAGCGUUGUCCGGAUUUAUUGGGCGUAAAGAGCGUGUAGGCGGCCAGACAGGUCCGUUGUGAAAACUAGAGGCUUAACCUCUAGACGUCGAUGGAAACCGUUUGGCUAGAGUCCGGAAGAGGAGAAUGGAAUUCCUGGUGUAGCGGUGAAAUGCGUAGAGAUCGGAAAGAACACCAACGGCGAAAGCACUCUGCUGGGCCGACACUGACACUGAGAGACGAAAGCUAGGGGAGCGAAUGGG
rnacentral:rRNA from 1 species